GGAGCAAGUGUGUGUUCCUCUGCACUGAUGAAUGUGCCUGUCUCCAGAAAGGGCAGCCCGUAGGUACUGAGAGCAGAGGUGGAGCUUCCAAGAGAGCAGUGACAGCCUCACUCCUCCUCCCUGGCCCACCCUCACCCCGUCCCCUGCACCUGGAGCCACUGGAAGACGGAGGAGCCAUCCUUUAAGAAUCUCUUGGAGGACUCAUCGACCCCAUGGGGACAUGGUACAAGGCUGGAGAGCAGCUCUGUGUUGAAGGGGAGGAGAGAAGAUAAUCCCAUUUCCUCCCAGUCUAAAGAAUGAGCAUUCCCAGUGGAAGGAGAAAGCAGAUCCUUGGCCACACACAAUCCUCGGAGAAGAGUCAACAGGAUUGUGACUAGAAGUGGCUUCUAUAUCAGCCCAAAGUUGACUUUCAGCAAAAG
rnacentral:lncRNA from 1 species